UUUUUAAAGUAAUCUCUACACCCAAUGUGGGACUCGAACUUAUUACCCCUAGAUCAAGAGUCGUGUGCUCCUUUAUUUUAGGUAGCUUACUUUAUACUAAGAAUAUGGUAUGUAAUACACAUAGCAUAUAAAAUAUAUGUGAAUCAACUGUUUACGUAAUUGGUGAGGUUUGUGGUGAACAGUAGGCCAGUAGCAGUCAAGUUUUGGUGGAGUCGAAAGUUAUAUGUGGAUUUUUGACUGUGCAGGGAGGGAAGUUGAUGCCUCUAACCCCUGUGUUCAGCGGUCAACUGCAUAUAUAAAUAUUAACUUAAACGUUUCCUCUCUGCCCUACAGAAAAGACUGAAACAUCCUCACUUUUGAUGCUGUGGGCAGUGUCAUCCAUGGCUCUGCCGUUGCCAGAUGCUGAUCUCAUGGGAAUGUGUUUUCUGGCUUCCCAGAAGUCAGUCUCUGGAAGACGAGCCUGUCCCUGUCAUGCCCUCCUAGGACUGACCCAGUGAUGUUGCCACUUUGCUGGCCUGUUGUGAAAGAUGUGGCUCCUGAAGCAUCUCUUCUUCUCUUGGGCCUCAUUCAAGCACCAUAUCCUGUUUUCCCACAAGAGAAAGUGUGGCCCAUUGCACAGCAUGUAUCUUGUGAUCUGUCUGCCCAGAUGUAGCAGUUAUAGUCUGUUGCUGAGUGGCUCUCAGGGGGCCCGGGAAGGGAGGGGGGAGCCAGCGCAGCACGUGCUCAGGGAGUGAAUGUGAGCAUGGCACCUUCUGCAGAACAUCUCCAGGCCUGAUACUGGGCUGGGCCCUGGUGUCAUGGAUCCCAUGGUCUACAUCUCCCAUCCGCCAUGUCACUGCAUCUCGCUGUUGGGGAUGCCCAUCCCUCCAGAGGUGGCAGCCGUCCCCAUAUCAAUUUCCACUGGUCCCUCCCCUCCAGGCACUUCCCUGGCAUGACCCUCCAAGAGCCCUUGGGCCUUCCUGUCUGUCUUCUUGGUGCUGAGCUGGCCCUGGAAAGUACCAAUAUCUGCAGCACUCCAGCAGGGAGCAUAACAGAUAAGAAAUUAUGUUAGCAGCCUAUAAGAUGCUGACUUAGAAGUUUUGUGUGGGCUGCAGCCUUGCCCCAGGGUCCCAAGUGACCUUACUCCAUAGAGGCAGCUGUAUUCCCAUGGGAUUCCAGUUAUUUCCCUGAUUGUAAAGGGGUAUGUCCUCUUUCAAAAAAAAGUCAUACCCUACAAGCUAUACAAAGUAAAAUGGGAGCUCCCAUAACCCUUGUGGCAGGCUGAUGGCCACCAAGAUUUCUGCCCCUGCAUACAUACCUGUGUCAUCUGUUCCCGUAGUUGUGUGUGGGACCAUGGGGCUAAAUGUGAAGGGAUUUGGCCAAUGUAAUACAAGUCCCUAAUCAGUUGACUUGGAGUUCAUCAAACGAGAGCGAUCCUGGAUGGGCCUGACCCAGUCAGGAGAGCCCCCAAGUGGGACCAGGCCCCUCCUGAAGAGGUUAGCUGCCAUGCUUGGUGGGGCCCAUGGCUGGGAACCGGGGGUGGCCUCCAGGAGUUGAGUGUGACCCCAGCCAAGGAUGGGAAUUCUCCAGUAACCUCAGGAACGUAAGGAGGAUGCCAAGCCUCAGUGAGACCCUGCCAGGUGGCACCUCGAGUGCCACUUCAGGGGGCCCUGAGCAGAGUACCCAGCACAGCCUGGCCUGCACUCCUGACUGCAGACUAAGAUAAGAAGUAGGUGUUGCUCUAAGCUGCAAUGUUUGGCAAUUUGUUAGGCCACAUAGAAAACCAGUACACUCCUGAUCAGGUAACACCGUCCUGGCUAUCACCUAACGACCAUCUUUAUCAAAAUGUUUGUUUAGACUCCAGAGCUAAUUCCCUUUAUUGGCUCCAGACUGUAGGGGCUGCUGGGUGAGCUGUCACAUCCUUCUGGGGGCUUCCAUGUCACUGCUGGUGACAUCACUAGGCCAUGGGCCCAUGCAACUGCUACCUGACACUAAACUGUCCCCAAAUGGUGCACAGACUCACCCCCCGCCACCAGAUGGUGCAUAGGCCCACCCCAGAUGGUAUACUGACUCAGCUUCUAGAGGUGCACAACUCACCCCCCAGAUGGUACACACCCCUCCCCCAGAUGGUGCACUGACUCACCCCCCAGAUGGUGUGUAGACUCUACCAUCCCAGAUGGUGCACAGACACCCCCCCUUCAAGAUGGUGAGCCGACUCCAUCAUCCCAGAUGGUGCACACUAACCCCAGAUGAUACACAGACUCAUCCCCCCAGAUGGUGUGUAGACUCACUCCCCCAGAUAGUACGCAGACUUACCCCCUCAGGUGGGACACAGACCCACCUCUCAGAUGGGGCACAGACCCACACCCAGGUGAUGCAUAGACACCCUCAGUAGCAGGGUGAGGAGUGCCCAUUGGUGAUGAAUAAUUAGCAGUUUCAGUUAUUAGAACAAAACAAAGCCAUGGGUGACUUGCUGUCCUCAGAGCCCCUGACUGUGGUUGGCCUGUGCCCUGCCCCUGGGUGCUAUGGCACAGAUAGACUUUUAUUGGUAUUGAAGUACCCAGAAGUGGUGAGUGAGGGAAUACUUUCUCUUACUUGGAGCCUUGAUGUGGGUACUCAUCACACCCACAUGUUUCCGAAUUAGGUAUUUAAUGAAAUCCCCAGCAAACCACUAGAAAUUCAGCUAAAUAGCGACUCUUGCGACAAAAAUAACCCAGCAGUUAAUAUUUCUAGUUAAUAACAAAUGCAUGUCACUGCUCCAUGUUUAAAAAUAGGAAUUGAGAAUCAUAGGACAGAAGGUUCUGCUCAGUCAGCUUUUUUUUUUUUUCCCCUCAAUUUUUCCUUUUCUGGAGACUUACGUAAGAAUCAGAACCAGAAGCCAACAUCACCAGUCUUAAUUCAGGUUCUGCCUUCCUGGCCUCCCAGCCUCCUGGCCUCUGCAGCCCCCUCUCCCCACAGGUAUCGGGAUGAGUGAGCAGAGGAGGGGUGCUGGGUGUCUGAAGGAGAACACUGUUUCCUGACCACAUGAAACAACCUCCACCCACAGGGGUUGGUGGGAUGCCCGGCCCACAGAAGCAACCUGUGGGAGCAGUGCCAGCCAGGUCGGAUCUGAAAUUCAGUCCCAGAAGAAAGGGACAGAGUAGAUGUGGCAGGAGGUAGGGGUCUGGGCCCAGCUGGCUUCUCCCUAAGGCUGACUGCCUCAGCCGGGGGCUGGGGUCUGGCAUGUGGAGCUACAGAAGAUUGUUCUAUGGGUGGCUGGGGUUCGUAUCAGGGACAGUGACCUCCCCCCCGCAGGGGCCUAUCCCUGAGACCUGGACCACUGUGUCGGGAUAGAGAGCUAUCGCAGGCCAGACAGGUGUCUUUAAGGUGGUGAGACUCCCAGGGCAGACCCAGAGGGUUUGAUGGCCAUCCAUAGUCCUUGGCCAUGUUGGUGCUUGUGGAGGUGCAGAGUUGGGUGCUCACCCUCUGUGCACAGGAUGAAGGCACAUCUGUGGUCCUGGGCUGUGGUGCCAGUGCAAGUUUCACUUUCAGUUUUAUGAAGUUCUUUGUUAACUCACAUUUCACCACAAGCAAAUGUUCAUAAAAAUCUAAGAUUAAAAUCAAAAAUUAUUUUUGGAAACUUUUUAGGAUCUGACCACAUAUUAACCCCAGCAUGGCGACAGGCUGCCAAGCCAUAGCUCCUGGCUCCACGUCCUCUGUGCACCUGCCCAUGGUGUUCAGGACCCUUUGGCAGUCACUUCCUAGACCCAGAGGUCUCAUGGAUGUAGCAGGGGUGGACCCCUUCCAUUCAGUCACUGUCUAUGGCCUUAUUAUAUUUAAAAUGGCAAAGCCGAUUAGAAACUUUGUUUUCUCACCUUGAAACUAGAACUCUUUUGAAAACAUGGACAUCUUUUCUACUUGCCCACAAAAUACUUGUUUGAUUCAUAAUGCAAAAAUCUAGAGAAA